rnacentral:lncRNA from 1 species
UUUGGAUGCAGCAUGGCUGCAACAUCACAUUAAUUGAAAAUUUAAGCACAUUAAUUGCUUAAGCAGUAGUUGAACUUUGCUGUUUUUGACUAGAUGUUUGUCGUUAGCAUGGUCAUGGGUAUAAGGCUGUAUGGGCAAUGAUGCUUCUGCUGCAGGAAAAAGUCAAAAUAUAAUUGGUCUGAUGGUGUGCAGAGUAGUAGCAGGGAUCGCUGGUAGGGACAGUAAAAGCUCUAGAGGGUUACAGAAACCUGCCAAAUCUCCAUUCUCACUGCAGGGAGCUCCUGCGUCUGCCAUUUCCAACUCCCGUGGUAGCUCCAGGAGAAACCAGGCAUUGGCAGACACAUUGGAAGGCAGCCACGCAGGCGGAGCUAGAAAUGGAGGAGAUAAAUACAUCUUAUGGAUUUCCCCUGUCACUCAAGUUGUGGACUAACAUAACCUCUACUCAGAAAGUCCAGAAAGCUUUUGUUUGUUUUGGUCACAAAGAAAACCUUUGAACUGUGACGUCUUUAGGAAGAAUUGUGUUCAAAUGAUGCCAGGGAACGGCCUGCACUGUCUGACCUGUUUCCUGCACUGCAGUCCACCUCUAGGCAGGACUUGGCUACCGAAUCAGUCCCUGCAUACUUGCCUCUGCGUGCUGUCAAACUGAAAUAUUUUCGAGAUAAUGUGCUAAAAUCCAAGAAUGUACUAAGUUUCCCAGUGAACAAACACCCCUGUGCUCAACCAAGUGUUGUUUGGAAAUGUUUUUUCUGAAUUGUUGGAAAUGUCUUGUUGCUAUAACGGGAAGCUGCUAGUGUGCUUCCAAUGUAUCCCUCUUCAGUUUUAGUGUAUGUUUAUUAUUAAAAACAAGCUGCUGAGAUUCAGAGUCGUGCCAACAAUCCUUCCUUCCAUGACACCCUGAAAGGUCUGCUUAUGUGGUGUAAGUCAAACCAGUAGAAAUUUGUUCUUCCAGAGGAACAAACAAGGGACUGAAGUCAUCAUGUGUAUACAGGACUGCAUGAGAUUUUUAGCUGAAUAUCUACUGGUUGCUACUCUUUUUGGAUAAAUUCCAACAAGUAAGAGAAAGAUGAAUGACCUUUGUACUCUUUCAUAAAUCUCACUUCAGUCUUUCUGUGUAACAUGUGUUUAAAGAAUGAACGUAGACAUGAUUAGAAUAUAAUCAUCAACACUAAAACUAUUUUUCCU